rnacentral:rRNA from 1 species
AUUGAACGCUGGCGGCAGGCCUAACACAUGCAAGUCGAACGAGUGGCGGACGGGUGAGUAAUGUCUGGGAAACUGCCUGAUGGAGGGGGAUAACUACUGGAAACGGUAGCUAAUACCGCAUACCAUCGGAUGUGCCCAGAUGGGAUUAGCUAGUAGGUGGGGUAAAGGCUCACCAAGGCGACGAUCCCUAGCUGGUCUGAGAGGAUGACCAGCCACACGGGAACUGAGACAAGGUCCAGAAUCCUAAGGGGGGCAGCAGUGGGGAAUAUUGGACAAUGGGGGCAAGCCUGAGACAGCCAUGCCGCGUUGAUGAAGAAGGCCUUCGGGUUGGAAAGUAAUUUCAGCGGGGAGGAGGUACCCGCAGAAGAAGCACCGGCUAACUCCGUGCCAGGCGCCGCGGUAAUUC